AUUGAACGCUGGCGGCAGGCCUAACACAUGCAAGUCGAGCGGAUGAAGGGAGCUUGCUCCUGGAUUCAGCGGCGGACGGGUGAGUAAUGCCUAGGAAUCUGCCUGGUAGUGGGGGAUAACGUCCGGAAACGGCCGCUAAUACCGCAUACUUCCUGAGGGGGAAGGUGGGGGAGCUUCGGACCUCACGCUAUCGGAUGAGCCUAGGUCGGAUUAGCUAGUUGGUGGGGUAAAGGCCUACCAAGGCGACGAUCCGUAACUGGUCUGAGAGGAUGAUCAGUCACACUGGAACUGAGACACGGUCCAGACUCCUACGGGAGGCAGCAGUGGGGAAUAUUGGACAAUGGGCGAAAGCCUGAUCCAGCCAUGCCGCGUGUGUGAAGAAGGUCUUCGGAUUGUAAAGCACUUUAAGUUGGGAGGAAGGGCAGUAAGUUAAUACCUUGCUGUUUUGACGUUACCAACAGAAUAAGCACCGGCUAACUUCGUG
rnacentral:rRNA from 1 species